AUUGAACGCUGGCGGCAGGCUUAACACAUGCAAGUCGAGCGGUAACAGAGAGAAGCUUGCUUCUCUGCUGACGAGCGGCGGACGGGUGUGUAAUGCCUAGGAAUCUGCCUAGUAGUGGGGGAUAACUUGCCGAAAGGUAAGCUAAUACCGCAUACGUCCUACGGGAGAAAGGAGGGGACCUUCGGGCCUUUCGCUAUUAGAUGAGCCUAGGUCGGAUUAGUUAGUUGGUGAGGUAAUGGCUCACCAAGACCGCGAUCCGUAACUGGUCUGAGAGGAUGAUCAGUCACACUGGAACUGAGACACGGGCCAGACUCCUACGGGAGGCAGCAGUGGGGAAUAUUGGACAAUGGGGGGAACCCUGAUCCAGCCAUGCCGCGUGUGUGAAGAAGGUCUUAGGAUUGUAAAGCACUUUAAGUUGGGAGGAAGAGCAGUUAACUAAUAUUUGACUGUUUUGACGUUACCGACAGAAUAAGCACCGGCUAACUUCGUGCCAGCAGCCGCCGCGG
rnacentral:rRNA from 1 species